CGGGCACGCGCGCGGCCCCGGGGUGGGAGCGGGCGGCGGCGCGGAGCGGGCGGUCAGCGAUGGGCGAGGGCGCGCUGGCCCCCGGCCUGCAGCUGCUGCUCCGCGCCUGCGAGCAGGGUGACACCGACACGGCGCGGCGCCUGCUGGAGCCAGGCGCGGACCCGGUCGCGGGGCCCGAGGCGGGAGCGGAGCCGGCAGGGCCCGAGGCGGUCCGGGCAGCGGAGGCCGGGGCGCCGGUGCCGGUGGACUGUUCCGAUGAGGCGGGCAACUCGGCGCUGCAGCUGGCGGCGGCCGGUGGCCACGAGCCACUCGUAAGGUUCCUGCUGCGCCGCGGAGCCUCGGUCAACAGCCGCAACCACUACGGCUGGAGCGCGCUCAUGCAGGCGGCCAGGUGUGGGCAUGUGAGCGUGGCACACCUCCUUUUGGAUCAUGGAGCCGAUGUCAAUGCUCAGAAUCGGCUGGGUGCCAGUGUGCUCACCGUGGCUUCUCGGGGUGGCCACCUGGGUGUGGUGAAGCUGCUGCUAGAGGCGGGAGCCAUUGUGGACCACCACACCCCUUCUGGAGAGUCGCCAGCAACGGGAGGCAGCGGGGAUGAACUGCUGGGCAUUACAGCCCUGAUGGCCGCUGUUCAGCAUGGGCACGAGGCCGUGGUACGUCUGCUGAUGGAGUGGGGUGCGGACCCUAACCACACAGCCCGGACUGUGGGCUGGAGCCCUCUGAUGCUGGCAGCCCUCCUUGGGAAGCUGAAUGUGGCGCAGCAGCUGGUGGAGAAGGGAGCCAACCCUGACCACCUCAGUGUACUGGAGAAGACUGCCUUCGAGGUUGCUCUCGACCGCAAGUACAGGGAUCUUGCUGAAUACCUGGACCCACUGACCACUGUCAGGCCAAAAACAGAUGAGGAGAAGAGGCGACCAGAUAUUUUCUAUGCCCUGAAGAUGGGGAACUUCCAGCUGGUGAAGGAGAUUGCGGACGAAGACCCCAACCAUGUGAACCUGGUCAACGGGGACGGGGCGACCCCACUGAUGCUGGCUGCUGUCACGGGGCACUUGCCCCUGGUACAGCUGCUGGUGGAGAAGCACGCAGACAUGGACAAGCAGGACAGCGUGCAUGGCUGGACGGCCCUCAUGCAGGCCACCUACCACGGAAAUAAAGAAAUUGUCAAGUAUCUGCUAAAUCAAGGGGCUGAUGUUGCUCUUCGAGCCAAAAAUGGGUACACGGCCUUUGACCUGGUGAUGCUGCUGAACGAUCCUGACACUGAACUUGUUCGACUGCUGGCGUCUGUGUGCAUGCAGGUGAAUAAAGACCGAGGUCGGCCCAGCCACCGGCCACCCCUGCCCCACUCGAAGGCCAGGCAACCCUGGAGCAUCCCUGUGCUGCCCGACGACAAGGGAGGCCUGAAGUCCUGGUGGAGCCGGAUGUCCAACAGGUUCCGAAAGCUCAAACUUAUGCAGACACUGCCACGCGGGCUGGCUGCCAACCAACCUUUGCCUUUCUCUGACGAGCCUGAGCUGGCGCUGGACUCCACCAUGCGGGCACCCCCCCAGGACAGGACUAGCCACCUUGGGCCACCUGAAGCAGCCCAUGCAACCAAAGACAGUGGUCCUGGGAACCCAAGAAGAGAGAAGGGAGAUGUGUUACUGACAACCAUGCUGCGAAACGGAGCGCCCUUCCCCCGGCUCCCCAGUGACAAGCUAAAGGCCGUCAUCCCACCCUUCCUGCCCCCGUCCAGCUUUGAGCUGUGGAGCUCUGACAGGUCCCACACAUGUCACAACGGGAAGGCAGACCCCACGAAGACUGCACUACCCCCAAGAGCCAGCAGGGCCCACCCCGUGGGCUGUGUGGGCACAGACGGUGCUACCAGCAGGCCAGUCAAAUUCCCCAGCAUCUCCAGAAGCCCCGCGUCCCCUGCCAGCUCUGGGAGCUUUAACCACUCGCCUCACUCCUCAGGGGGUGCCAGUGGCAUUGGUGGCAUGAGCAGGCUGGGUGGUGAGCUGCAUAGCCGCUCAGGUGGCAGCGUAGACAGUGUCCUGUCCCAGAUCGCUGCUCAGAGGAAGAAAGCAGCCGGCUUGUGUGAGCAGAAGCCCCGCCAGCAGUCCAGUCCCGUGGGGCCAGCCACCAGCUCCAGCCCGCCUGAGCUCCCAGCCUCCCUCCCGAGCAGUGGUAGUGGCUCUUCCAGUGGCCCUUCCAGCAGCAAGAAACUGGACCCCAGCAAACGGCCUCCCUCCGGAACUUCUGCUACCUCUAAAAGCACCUCUCCCACCCUCACGCCCUCUCCCUCGCCCAAAGGCCACACUGCAGAGUCUUCGGUGUCUUCCUCCUCGUCUCACCGGCAGUCUAAGAGCAGUGGGGGCUCCAGCAGUGGCACCAUCACCGAUGAGGAUGAACUGACUGGAAUCCUUAAGAAGUUAUCACUUGAGAAAUACCAGCCCAUCUUCGAGGAACAAGAGAGCCGUUUCCUGAUUCCUCGCUACUGCCUGCUCUUCGUUGAGGUGUCCACAGAACAUGUCUCAGACUGUACCUCGCUUCUAUUCCGUGAGCUGUGUGGCCCUUGUCCUCAAAGUCUAGUGUGGCUCUGAAGCUCCAGCCAUCACACCUACACUGUGUGGACAUGGAAGCCUUCCUCACACUCACCGACGGCGACCUGCAGGAGCUGGGGAUUAAGACGGAUGGCUCCCGGCAGCAGAUCCUGGCGGCCAUCUCUGAGCUGAAUGCGGGCAAGGGGCGUGAGAGGCAGAUUCUACAGGAAACCAUUCACAACUUCCACUCUUCCUUUGAAAGCAGUGCCAGCAACACCAGAGCCCCUGGCAAUGGUCCCUGUACGUGAGCCUCUAUGCCGUGACCUUGAUCCAUGGCCGGAUGGACAAGGCCGGAAGAAACCGUGUCUAGCAGGAGGUAGCCACAGCUUUGGUGGUUCCGCUGGCCUCGGAGCCCUGAGGCAUUGAGGGUUGAGCAGUGCUUCCCUGCCCUUCCAUCAUUUCUGCUCCUGGGUUGUUUCUUCCCUGGGACUCACAGCAGGUGGACAGAAAGGAGGCCGGGCGACGCAUCAUCAGAGCUGAUGCAGUGGGCAGGGCCUGGGAAGUUCUCCUCUCUGUCUCUGCCUUGCGGAGGCCUGAGAACAUGCAAGGCAUGCUGGAGGCCGCAUGGCUGCAGAUGUAAACCCUAACCAGUUUGUGCAAGUACGUGCUGCCCUCGAGGCGUGAGACUCUUCCAGAGAAGAUGCUACACAGAGAUGAACCCCUGCAGAAGGUGUGGUGAAGCACCCCACUGUGGCUGCCGUGGUUCAUUUUAAGCAAUCACCAAUAGACCCUGUUCAACAAGUGAGGAAGCUCGAUGUUCUCCCUAAUGAAGUUGGUGCCCGGUUCUGCAGACUGCCGAGGAGAGGGUGCCGAGACCCUCGGGAGUUUCCCGCUCACUCACAUGUGGCCUCCAGAGAAACAGCCAGGCUCCCCACUGCUCCUGGGGUGCUACAGACCUGGACACAGCCAUGCUUGUAGUCUAGCUGCACAUAACCGACAGUGACAUGAGGGUGCAGGAGGGAGGUCUGAGGAAGAGCCACACGGGAAGAGAGCUCCAAGCCCACCCGCUUCCCUCGUCUUCAGCUCUUCCAGGCCCAUAGGCUUCCUUCUUAAGGCCAAAACCAUACUAGCUGCUGGCCAGAGCCCUGCCGCUGAGUAGAGCCGACUCACCUCAGGGCAGGGUCCUGUUUCCUGUGUGAACCUUCCCUCUAAGUCCGGCAGACACGGCCCCAGUCAUGUCCAUCAGGAUACCCAGUGGCAGGACUAGAAUGUGACCUUGUCCCAGCUCACACUGGGGUGGCUCCCCCCAUGGUCAGAGACCACGGCGCCAUCUUGCUUCAGCCCUGCAGUUGGUUUUCAUUUUUCUCACAUCAGUCGCAGCGUUAUUUCUACACGAGGGCGUGAUUCUUGGAAAGAUUUUUCCUUGCCAGACUAUAUCUAUUAAAAAUGGGGACUGUGUCCCCUGAGUUUGUGCUCUUUAGGGCAUAGCAUGUGGCCCAGGGUUCCUCUUGUAUAGCUGACAUGCUGCGGGGUGCUUCUGUGUACCCCCUCAUCCAUCUACACAGUAAGCCUUUGAGGCAGCUGGAACCUUUGAUUCCAGUCAGUUUGGUGACUGUGACACAGGCUAGUAACCAGCUUCAUGAAGGUCAGACCCAGCUAAGGAGGGACACUGGUUUGAAUGCAGGUCUCACCUCAAAGUCGUCUUCCUGAUGUCUGGCUGCCUGUCAGCAAUGAGUAACCCAGCCAGUAACCGAACACAAACAAGUGACACUUUGUCAUUUC